AACGAACGCUGGCGGCGUGGAUAGGACAUGCAAGUCGAACGGGACAGACCGAGUAGCAAUAUUUGGAAUGUUCAGUGGCGAACGGGUGCGUAACACGUGGAUAACAUUCCGGAAAGCGGGGAAUAGCCCAGGGAAACUUGGAUUAAUACCGCAUGUGGCCGCAAGGCUAAAGACGGGGACCGCAAGGCCUGUCACUUUCCGAUUGGUCCGCGGCCUAUCAGCUAGUUGGCGGGGUAAUGGCCCACCAAGGCUACGACGGGUAGCUGGUCUUAGCGGACGACCAGCCACACUGGAACUGAGACACGGUCCAGACACCUACGGGUGGCAGCAGUCGAGAAUCUUUCACAAUGGGGGCAACCCUGAUGGAGCGACGCCGCGUGGAGGAUAAGGUCUUCGGAUUGUAAACUCCUGUCAUGCGAGAACAAGGUACUCAGGCUAAUAACCUGAUUGUUUGAUGGUACCGCAAGAGGAAGAGACGGCUAACUCUGUGCCAGCAGCCGCGGUAAAAC
rnacentral:rRNA from 1 species